GACGAACGCUGGCGGCGUGCUUAACACAUGCAAGUCGAACGGCAAGGCCCUGCUUUUGUUGGGUGCUCGAGUGGCGAACGGGUGAGUAACACGUGAGUAACCUGCCCUUGACUUUGGGAUAACUUCAGGAAACUGGGGCUAAUACCGGCUAGGAGCUCCUGCUGCAUGGUGGGGGUUGGAAAGUUUCGGCGGUUGGGGAUGGACUCGCGGCUUAUCAGCUUGUUGGUGGGGUAGUGGCUUACCAAGGCUUUGACGGGUAGCCGGCCUGAGAGGGUGACCGGCCACAAUGGGACUGAGAUACGGCCCAGACGCCUACGGGAGGCAGCAGUGGGGAAUAUUGCACAAUGGGGGGACGCCUGAUGCAGCAACGCCGCGUGCGGGAUGACGGCCUUCGGGUUGUAAACCGCUUUCGCCUGUGACGAAGCGUGAGUGACGGUAAUGGGUAAAGAAGCACCGGCUAACUACGUG
rnacentral:rRNA from 1 species